AGGGGAGGCAGCAGGAUUGGGCAGGAGAACUUCUGACUGUCACGCGGGUCUGAUGGAGCUCCAGCUGGUCUAAUGAAGAGCUCCUGAGCAAAGAUUUCUCCUCAGAGAAAUUCUAUACCACAAGGAAAGGGCUGGCCUCAGGACUCUGCUGUGCUCAGUCAUGGGCUGGGGGGCUGCCUGCAAAGGGCAGGGCCUCUGCUCAGAGACUGAGGCGCAGCCGAAGGCACUACAGCUGGUUGCCGUCAGCUUGCUGUACUCCUAGCAACAGAGCAGUGAGUUCUUUCUGGAAGCCAGACCUGAGCGGUACAACUUCAUAGCUGCCUCAGAAAGAGACGGUGGCUUCCUUCUGCCGAAUGCACACUGUGGGCCAGGCUCUUUUCCCACAUUAUCUUCCUCAGGCCUCUCAUCAGUUCUGUGAGGCUGGUGUUAUUUCCACUCCCACAGUUGAUGAUGUGGAGACCUACAUUGGUGUUUGCCCUGAGACGGCCCUGCUAGUGAGAGGCAGACAGAGCUGGGAUUUGAAGACUCCUGGUUCAAUGUUCUGUGGUGGUCGCCACUGCUUCAGCAGCCAUCAUCCCUGUGAUAAGAACUUGGGCUCUGCAGCUACAGUGCUGUUCGUUGUCCCCAAAGUAUACGUUUAUCUCGAUAGUGUGUAUGCAUAUGCACCUAAGAGGUCUGAGAGGUGAUCUCCGGAAGGAGGAAUUACAGAGAGGAAGAGUAUGAGCCAAUAAAGGGCCAAUAAAUAAAGUAUGAGCCAAUAAAGAAACAUCGGUGAGCCAGUCAACAUGUGCUUGAACCUGCUGGGGACUGUCUGAGGAACUGUGCAGAAUAUUGGGACCAUUUUGACUUCUAUUCCUCAUUCGUGGAAGACAGCCCCACGGGCACUGGCUCCCUGCCACCUCCUGGCAGAUGUGGCCCGCAUAGAGGCUGAGCAGGCUCCAGGGGCACCACAAAGAGCUUCAGGUACAGAGCUUGAGAGGGGAUGUAGUCACCAUGCAGGGAACUGCCCAUGAUGGCCACGGGAACCAGAGUCCAUCUGGAUAAUGCAUGGGCAUCCGCAGCAUCUGUCACACCAAGUAUUCAAGGCUUGGAAAGACUCUCCCUCCAGUUUCAGGGUAUCUGAUACUUGUGGCUCAGAAUGAAGGAGAAGCAGCAUCAAGCCCGAUGCCUGUGGGGGCACCAUCUUAGUCGGCUUGGGCUGCCCUAACAAAAUAGCACAGACGAUGGGCCUUAAACCACAGGAAUCUAUUUCUUGCAGUUCUGGAGCCUGGACGUCCAAGAUCAAAGCUAUGGCAGGUUUGGUUUCUUCUGAGGCCUCUUGGUUGAUAGACAGCCAACUUCUUGCCGUGUCCUCGCGUGGCCUUUAUUCUGUGCCUAGUCAGGAAGAGAGAUCUGGUGUCUCUACCUCUUCUUAUAAGGAUACCAGUCCUAUCAGAUCAAGGCCCACCCUUACGACCUCAUUUAACUGUAAUUAUCCCCCUAAAUGUCCAAUCUCCAAAUACAGUCCCAUUCUAAGGCACUGGAGGUUAGGGCUCCAACAUACGAACUUUAAAGGAGACAAUUCAGUUCAUAAUAGGCAUGAAUGGCUGGCAAGAGGACCCGGAUAUGAGCCCUAUUUCUCCAUUUUACUGGUCCCAGAGACAAGGAAGUGAGCAGCUUAGGGUCCCACAGCUCGAGUGGCACUGCAGUGCUGAGUCAGAAACAAAUCUAUCUGCCCAGGGUGACUCCCAGACCCAGGACUGCCCACACCCAUGACCUAUGGGGCACUGUGCCCCCAAGGCCUCCUGGGCUUGGCCCGCCCUUCUUGACAAUGCUUGUCACACUUCCUGCCUCCUGAGACCCCGCAGACUCUCCUGCAUCCCAGUGCUUCUCUCUACCCCAUGGGUGCUCUAGGAGGGGGCACAAUGCAGUGCCAAGGCCCGGGUUCCAGGGCUGGCUGAGCCGUAGUGCAAGUGCUUCCUCUGUAACUUCCUCUGGGAAAAGAGGGGGCCGUGUCCGGCUACUGCCCCUGUUCCCCCAGUCUAUCUUGUCAGUGUUGGUGAAAAGUGUGGAGAGAAAUGGGUGUUGGAUCUGCUGGAAGGGGGGGUACAUUGGAACAACCCAUCCAGGGAGGCCACUUGGCAGGGGCCCUCAAAGCUCUCAGGACUGUGCAUGUCCAAGACUAUUCUCUCCUGACCCCUUCUGAGAAGGGGGGCUGCUGAGCAGAGAUUUAGCUAUAAGUGUUGGUUUGUCACAUCGCACCCUUACAAACCCCAAAAGGCGCCACAUGAAGGGGCCAAAGAAGCAAAUCACGGCACCUAAUUCAAUGGAACACACAGACAUAGGAUAUGAUUCUGCAAAGCAUGUUUAAUGAUUUGGAAGGACUUUUCACUGUAUCAAGUGAAAAGGCUAAUUACAGAGCAACCCAUAGUGUGGUUUUGUCCAUGUUGAAAGAUACAAAGAACUGGAAGAAUAAUAAGCCAGGCAUAAGCAGUGGUUACUUCUGUGUGAUGGGACUGUAGACAUUUUUAAAUCUUUUCUGAAGUAACAAUGUGUACUCAUUGCUUUUGCAAUAAGAAAGCCCACAGAAACGGUGAUAUUAAAAAAUAACUUUGUAGUCUUGGCAGAUGCUGCUGGCUAAUUCUACAGCUAUUAUACCUAUUUUCCCUCAUUGCUUCAGCUUGUCCACUCCCAGUGGUUGAAUCUUUACCUCCUCUAGGCGCUCUGCCAGUGUGGCCACGUCAUGCAGUUCCAGCCAAUGAGAUGUAAGUGGAAGUCAGCUCUGCGGAGGAUUCUGGGAGAGCUGUCUCCUGAUAAAUGGAGGCGUAUUUCUGGUCCUUACGCUUCCCCUUUCUUCCUCCCGGAAUGUGGCAGUGAUGCCUCGUGAGCAUCAGGUGAUGGACCAGAAAGCCACUUCCAUGGGGCCAGUACCUACCAAAAGACAGAUGCACGGGGUGCAAGUGUCCUUGGCCGUGGCUUGCACAAGGCCUACAUAAAACACCAUCCAUGGGGCCUAAGGUAAACAUCUAGUGAUGACUAUAAGCAAGACGAGACAAGCGAAUCUACUCUCAUCAAAAACAAAACAAGACACUAACCCUCUAAAAGGAAGACCCUUUGGCCCCAAAGCUCCAAGGUAUUAGGAUCAUUCUGCACAGAUCCAAGCAAAAGGCAGAAAACCCUUGCUCGAAAGAAUCCCUCUACACAGAAGCCUCUGCUGAUACAAAAACCACCUAAGGAGUGACUUCGAGAGAAGAAGGAAGUUUCUUCCUUAAAAGGCAGUUUCCUCCAUACCUUAAAGACCACGUUCGCGGCACAUUUCAUUUUCGGGCCAUGCCCGUUGUAUAAAGAGAAGUCCAUCUGCAUUUAUCUCUGAAAAGGGAUUUCUUUUGAAAAAGGACCUCCCUCCCCGGCAAGCCCCGAAGACAUAUUGACAACAGGAGGAUUAAGACACAACGACAAUAGGGGGAUUAUUUCCUAACCUGGUGUGUGACAAACGCCUAUUAAUAAACGAACAAGCCGGUCCUGUCUCCGUUUUCUCUCAAACACAAAGCCCCAUCGCCCAGUGACCAGAGCCAAGGCGUGCACGGAGUCGCUGAGCUCUCUCCCCGUCCUGCCGCUGGCCCAGGACCCGGCAGAGGCCCCCCCCGCCGCCUGCCUGAGCACCCCCGGCCCCGACGGAGGUGGCCGUGCAGAGGGCUGGCCCUGUCACCCCGGGCAGGUGGGUGCUCUCCGCAACUGUGUGUCCCUCCUGCUGUCUCGCCUCCUGUCAUUUCUGUGGCAGGCGACGAUGUUUCUUGCCGGACAAAACAUAUGUUGGAGAAGCUUGACCAAGCAGCUUUUUCUCAAGGAAAAACGGAAGCUGUUGUCUGAAAACCCCAACCGGCGCGUUGAGGCUUCAAAGGCCUGGCUGGGCAGUUCUGGUUCUCAGCAGAGACCUCCGUGUUUCGGGAAGUCCUGCUCCCUCCCACAAUUCCUGGCCUCUGUCACAUCAGCUUUGUGUUCUCUUCUCUCCAGGACGUCUCCCAAGAGACGAUCUCUGAGAAAAUGCAGCAACUCACGCAGUCUUGGAGGAAGAGAAUGUCUUAAUGAAAGGCGGCUUAACCCAGGAGCAAGGGGAGGUUCUGCUGGACGGAACGAGCUACCUGUACACGAGCACCAAACGCUCCGGAGAAGAUAACGGCAACCGGCUUGGGAGAGCGAUGAGUCACCACCCGUCCUGCGUGCGCAGCCCUCAGGUGGGGACAUACUGGCACACACAGCACACCUGGGCUCGCCCACCUGUGAUGGCCGGCUGCAGCGUCAUGCACACAGUCUGUUAGGAGACCAGCCAGCCGCCGUUUAGAGAUCACUAGCAAAAUCGAAGGACAAAUCACGAGUCUGAAUCUUUCUGUGGUUACUAACAGCUUCCGGGGGCUGGGAGCAGUCGCCUCCUGGAGGGUCCACUCCCCCAGAUUCCAGGCCUAGGCACAUCACCGGCAUGACUUUUGUAGUGUGCCAUUAUCGGAGUAGCCCAGGGACCCACCGCUGUUAGCCCCGGGAGGAGCCCCAGAUCAGCUGGAUUUGGGAAUUCCUGUGGAACUCUGGGCCCUGGUGCCACACCUCUGAGUCCUGGGGGCAGGGACAGCUUUCUUGCAAGUGAAGGGGCUCACACGCCUGGGGUAGGGGCUUACUCAGAGGAAUAGGAAGGUGGGACGGACGAAGGCAGAGGGUAGAAUUCAGGGGGGGUCCAUGCAACUUCCUUGGCAACACCAUUUAAAAAAAAUUCUUUGGGGGCGCCUGGGUGGCGCAGUCGGUUAAGCGUCCGACUUCAGCCAGGUCACGAUCUCGUGGUCCGUGAGUUCGAGCCCCGCGUCAGGCUCUG